GACGAACGCUGGCGGUGUGCUUAACACAUGCAAGUGGUGCGACGAACCAGAGCUUGCUCUGGGGCAAAGCCGCGAACGGGUGAGUAACACGUGGGUAAUCUACCCCGAUGACCGGGACAACCCGAGGAAACUCGGGCUAAUACCGGAUGUGGUACGGAGACAUAAGUCUCUUUACUAAAGGUAGCUUCGGCUUCCGCAUUGGGAGGGGCCCGCGGCCCAUUAGCUAGUUGGUGGGGUCAAGGCCUACCAAGGCAACGAUGGGUAGCUGGUCUGAGAGGACGAUCAGCCACACUGGGACUGAGACACGGCCCAGACUCCUACGGGAGGCAGCAGUGGGGAAUCUUGCGCAAUGCGCGAAAGCGUGACGCAGCAACACCGCGUGAGGGAAGACGGCCUUAGGGUUGUAAACCUCUUUCAGAUGGGACGAAGGUGAUGCGGUGAAUAGCCGAUGUCAUUGACGGUACCGUCAGAAGAAGCUCCGGCUAACUACGUGCCAGCAGCCGAC
rnacentral:rRNA from 1 species